rnacentral:rRNA from 1 species
CAGCAGCCGCGGUAAUACAGAGGGUGCGAGCGUUAAUCGGAUUUACUGGGCGUAAAGCGUGCGUAGGCGGCUUCUUAAGUCGGAUGUGAAAUCCCUGAGCUUAACUUAGGAAUUGCAUUCGAUACUGGGAAGCUAGAGUAUGGGAGAGGAUGGUAGAAUUCCAGGUGUAGCGGUGAAAUGCGUAGAGAUCUGGAGGAAUACCGAUGGCGAAGGCAGCCAUCUGGCCUAAUACUGACGCUGAGGUACGAAAGCAUGGUGAGCAAACAGGAUUAGAUACCCCAGUAGUCCCUGUCUCUUAUAC